rnacentral:tRNA from 2 species
GCGGGAGUGGUGAAACCGGUAGACACGCAGGAUUUAGGUUCCUGUGCCUUCGGGCGUGUGGGUUCGAGUCCCACCUUCCGCAC